AUGUGGAGAUUGCGCACAUGCCAAUUUGGGUUCGCAUCUAUGAUGCCCCCCCCCCCGAUCAUGCUCUCUGAACCGGUGGCUCACGAGAUCGGUGGCAAGCUUGGUGAAGUGCUUGAAGUGCAUACGGACAUGGAAGGUAAUAUCUGGGGUGACUUCCUAAGGAUUCGCAUUAACCAUGAUGUUGAUGAACCCUUCUGUAGCACCUUAGAGUCUCAUGAUUUUGCUGAAAAUGAGGUGUUCUUCCUAGAUGUCAAGUACGAGAGGGUACCCCGUUUCUGUAGUUUCUAUGGCUUCCUUGGUCAUAGCUAG
rnacentral:rRNA from 1 species